UACGGAGGGUGCAAGCGUUGCUCGGAAUCACUGGGCGUAAAGCGUACGCAGGCUGGUCGUCAAGUCGGGUGUGAAAGCCCGGGGCUCAACCCCGGAAUUGCAUUCGAAACUGGCGGCCUUGAGUACGGGAGAGGGAAGCGGAAUUCCUGGUGUAGAGGUGAAAUUCGUAGAUAUCAGGAGGAACACCCGUGGCGAAAGCGGCUUCCUGGCCCGAUACUGACGCUCAUGUACGAAAGCGUGGGGAGCAAACAGG
rnacentral:misc_RNA from 1 species